GAUGAACGCUGGCGGCGUGCCUAACACAUGCAAGUCGAGCGAGGGUUUGCUCAGUAUUGAGUAUUCUAAGUCUAGAAUGUUCAAUUCUGAGCAAAACCAAGCGGCGGACGGGUGAGUAACGCGUGGGUAACCUGCCCUACACACAUGGAUAACAUACUGAAAAGUUUACUAAUACAUGAUAAUAUAUAUUUGCGGCAUCGCAGAUAUAUCAAAGUGUUAGCGGUAUAGGAUGGACCCGCGUCUGAUUAGCUAGUUGGUGAGAUAACUGCCCACCAAGGCGACGAUCAGUAGCCGACCUGAGAGGGUGAUCGGCCACAUUGGAACUGAGACACGGUCCAAACUCCUACGGGAGGCAGCAGUGGGGAAUAUUGCACAAUGGGCGAAAGCCUGAUGCAGCAACGCCGCGUGAACGAUGAAGGUCUUCGGAUCGUAAAGUUCUGUUGCAGGGGAAGAUAAUGACG
rnacentral:rRNA from 1 species